GGAGGCCUGGCUUCUUUGAAUAUUAGGACAAGUGAAGGAGGUGUGGCCUCAAUGACUGUCAGGACAAGUGAAGGAGGUGUGGCCUCAAUGACUGUCAGGACAAUUAAAGGAGGUGUGGCCUCAAUGACUGUCAGGACAAUUAAAGGAGGUGUGGCCUCAUUGACUGUCGGGACAAGUGAGGGAGGUGUGGCCUCAAUGACUGUCAGGACAAGUGAAGGAGGUGUGGCCUCAAUGACUGUCAGGACAAGUGAAGGAGGCACGGCUUCAAUGACAGUUAAGGACAAGUGAAGGAGGUGCGGCCUCAAUGACUGUGAGGACAGUUAAAGUAGGCAUGGCCUCAAUGACUGUCAGGACAAGUGAAGGGGCGUGGCCUCCC
ensembl:lncRNA